AUUGAACGCUGGAGGAAGGCCUAACACAUGAACGUCGAACGAGUGGCGGACGGGUGAGUAAUGUCUGGGAAACCGCCUGCUGGAGGGGGAAAACUACUGGAAACGGUAGCUAAUACCGCAUACCAUCGGAUGUGCCAAGAUGGGCUUAGCUAGUAGGUGGGGUAAAGGCUAACCUAGGCGACGAUCCCUAGCUGUUCUGAGAGGAUGACCAGCCCCCCUGGAACUGAGACACGGUCCAGACUCCUACGUGAGGCAGCAGUGGGGAAUAUUGCACCAUGGUCGCAAGCCUGAUGCAGCCAUGCCGCGUGUAUGAAGAAUGCCUUCGGGUUGUAAAUUACUUUCAGCUGGGAGGCGUUACCCGCAGAAGAAGCACCGGCUAACUCCGUGCCAGCAGCCGCGGUAAUUC
rnacentral:rRNA from 1 species